UUAUAACAAAUUCGCGUUAAGGAUAGAAGCGGCAUCCUUUUUUGUUGGCUCGAGUAUUUUGUGAAGUAUGAACAAAAUAUAACGAGAACUAACAAAAAAGAUAUAGCGGAUAGCCUGACCCUUG
rfam:Arenitalea lutea strain CGMCC 1.12213 genome assembly, contig: Ga0079849_107